UGGCGGACGGGUGAGUAACAUUUAGGAAUCUGCCUAGUAGUGGGGGAUAGCUCGGGGAAACUCGAAUUAAUACCGCAUACGACCUACGGGUGAAAGGGGGCGCAAGCUCUUGCCAUUAGAUGAGCCUAAAUCAGAUUAGCUAGUUGGUGGGGUAAAGGCCUACCAAGGCGACGAUCUGUAACUGGUCUGAGAGGAUGAUCAGUCACACCGGAACUGAGACACGGUCCGGACUCCUACGGGAGGCAGCAGUGGGGAAUAUUGGACAAUGGGGGCAACCCUGAUCCAGCCAUGCCGCGUGUGUGAAGAAGGCCUUUUGGUUGUAAAGCACUUUAAGCAGGGAGGAGAGGCUAAUGGUUAAUACCCAUUAGAUUAGACGUUACCUGCAGAAUAAGCACCGGCUAACUCUGUGCCAGCAGCCGCGGUAAUACAGAGGGUGCGAGCGUUAAUCGGAAUUACUGGGCGUAAAGCGAGUGUAGGUGGCUCAUUAAGUCACAUGUGAAAUCCCCGGGCUUAACCUGGGAACUGCAUGUGAUACUGGGGUGCUAGAAUAUGUGAGAGGGAAGUAGAAUUCCAGGUGUAGCGGUGAAAUGCGUAGAGAUCUGGAGGAAUACCGAUGGCGAAGGCAGCUUCCUGGCAUAAUAUUGACACUGAGAUCCGAAAGCGUGGGUAGCAAACAGGAUUAGACACCCUGGUAGUCCACGCCGUAGACGAUGUCUACU
rnacentral:rRNA from 1 species